rnacentral:rRNA from 1 species
CAAUAGCGUAUAUUAAAGUUGUUGCAGUUAAAAAGCUCGUAGUUGGAUUUGUGGCUGUCACGGGCGGCCUAUCACUUAGUGUUAGUGCUUGCCUGUGUCGCCAUCCUUGGGUGGAGCCCGUGUGGCAUUAGGUUGUCGUGCGGGGGAUGCCCAUCGUUUACCGUGAGAAAAUUGGAGUGUUCAAAGCAGGCUUAUGCCAUUGAAUAUGUUAGCAUGGAAUAAUAAGAUAGGACCUCGGUACUAUUUUGUUGGUUUGCGCACCGAGGUAAUGAUUAAUAGGGACAGUUGGGGGUAUUCGUAUUUCAUUGUCAGAGGUGAAAUUCUUGGAUUUCUGAAAGACGAACUACUGCGAAAGCAUUUACCAAGGAUGUUUUCAUUAA